ACCUGCUUAUCAGCAAUGUGAGUGGGGAAGGAACCGGUGGAAACAGGCACACGCACAGUUGCGUCUGGUCGCGAUACGUGAUAUUUCAGGCUUCCUCGACUUUGGUUUGCAUUUUGAACUUUCUCUUUCACAAGUGUCUGAGUGAGUGAGUCGGGGCAGACAAACAGACUGCACACAGGCUGUCUCCAGCUGCAGUCUACCAGCAUCUUCCCUCUGAGCUGCGAGGCCAUUUAGACUUGGCGCUUGUCUCCUUUCCUCAGUGUCCGAGCCGCCCAUUUGGUGUGUGUGUGCGUGAGAGAGAGCGAGUUAGGAACUUGCCCUCCGUUGCUGAAGACCCAGCAGCGCUGCCGAGAUUCACAGGAACAACCGGCAGUACCAUGAACACCGGCCUGCGGUCACUGCGGUCCCUGGCGUGAAGACGGUGUAAAGGGGGCGAAUGAGCCCACUCGUGUGCAUCUUCACUUUAACUUUCACCAGGCUGUCGCUUAUGCAGUUCGCUGUAUUCACACAGAGAAGGCAAGCGAAACGAGUUUGUUCCUACUGUUACCUCCAUCUUAGUCUGGACUGCCAUAUUUUCACAUUCAUAAACACUGAGACUGGGAUUUCUCUGCUCUUAUUAUGCAAUUUUGCUGUGUGUCUACCAAAAGCAGAUGCAACUCACAAUCAUAAUACAGGCAAAGUGAGGCCAGCAGCGGUGACUGAAAUGUUGCAAAUGGUGACAGGGAUGCAAAAACAAGUGGAGGAAAAACGUAAAGAAGGUCUAUUCCCUCCUAAAGAUGUACCUGAAUUACAAUUAUAUACUCCUGAACAGAUACCUAAUGACUGUUUUGAAACUGCUUUUACAUGCUUCAUUCAAGAACUGAAUGUUUUGCGGUUUGAAUUUGCGCUCGAGUCUUACGAAUUACAAAACAUGAACAGAAUGAAUAGAAAUGCAAAAGCAUUUUCUAAAUUUAACCCGAAGAACUGCAAAACCUGUGAAGCAUUCCAAGAAAAAAAUGCAACACAUUUUCUAAUGGCUUUUGAAAUUCUUCUCCAAAACAAGUAUAGACAAACAUAAACCAUGUUUUAUGAUCCUCUGAGUGAGGGACACAACAUUUAUCUUGUCUGCCACUUCCCAUGGAGUCAAUCAACAGUGUUUUCUGUUGUCGGUGGCCUUUCACUAUAUCAAUACUGGAUCAAGACCAAGAGGCUGAUCAACUCACCAGACAGCACAUCCAUUGAGUUGCAGAAGACUCACUGUGGGCUAAUAAAAAAAUAAAUUCCAGACAGAUAUACUUGCAGGAGCAUGAGCAGGAGAUGGGAACACUGAGGAACAAAGACAACGCUCCCAUUAAACUGUACAGAUAUACAACUUCCUGAAAAUUACUAUGCAAGCCUUAUCCUAUAAUAAAUAGUGCAAGUGUGUGACCACACACUGAACAAGAUGAAGCCUGGUGCAAAAACUAAAUUCCAAAGAAAAUAUUGGAAAUGGAGAAUUAAGAUUAGAACAAUACAAGUGGAAUGUUUCUAUAAUUUAGGUUGGGAUAUAUAUCUUUUAAGAAGCUCUUCCUCAUGAGAAGUAAUGCUCUGACUCACUGUUUCAUGGAAAUGCUAAUCACUUCCAAGCUAUGCUGUAUAAAAUGAUGUGCCCUAUCUUUUCUGGGAACUCCUAUCACUGGACACUCAGAAGAAAAGCAUUUCUCUUCUCACAAAACAUGCAUAGAUACAACCUGAAGCGUAAUGAGUGUGUCUGCUACAAUCACUGAUUGAGUGAAGUGGUUUUCUUGUCUUUCUUCCUCAUUUGAUGUUAUUUGGUGGGUUUAAAGCCUGAAAGAGGUCGGUUAGGUCAGUUGAGUGGAUGGCUGGUUUGCAAUACCAACAGCAUGGGUUCAAUGUCCAUUGUGGCUAAGCUAGCCAUGAAGGAUUCUCUUUCUCAACCUUACCCCUCACCUGAGGCAUGGUGACACCGUGGUUAAACCACCAGCAGUUGCCUCUGUCUCUAAUGUGGGAGCAGCUCUCUAGUCUGGUAAAACUACCCUUCAAUGGUUGCUUUAAAAUAAUGGAACUGCCAUCCCAAUUUUAAAGAUUCUAUGACUGACGAGGCUCCACUACCGAAGCUGAAACUGCAAGCCCAGGGGAACUAAGGGCCUACUGGCUUCCUGCAAGCCUGACCUUCUCAAGAAAUCUAGAACCAAGGCCCAACCGGUGUGGGAAACAGACCUGACCCCAUGGUGACCUGACAUCAGACUGACUACAAAACCCCCCAAGCACUCAUGAAAAAGACUAGCGCCCAGGACCCCAUCAGACACACCUAAUUAUUUUGCUGAUCUCCUGAAACUCUCAAGGCCAUGACUGGUGUGCAGGAGCCCGUCAGUAGCACGUACUUACCUCUUGGAGCAGCAGACUUCCUUCACAGACGCCCAGGAUCGUUUAAAAGGAGCUAUCUACCCGGGAAACAUGGGAGACAUGCUGGACUUCAGUUGAGACUGGAACUUGAGGUUUUCAAGUCCCUACUCCCCAGCAUAGUCCUGGCAAAUGUCAAAGCUAUUGAGAACAAAAUGGAUGAACUUGAAGCUAGACUCCAAAGGGAAUUAAGAGACUGCUGUGUGCUCUGCUUUACAGAGACAUGGCUCACUCCUGCUACACGUGAUUGUGUCUUACAACCUGAGGGCUUCUCAGUUUACUGAAUGGACUACUUGGGCAAGGCAAGGGGCAGUGGGGUCUGCUUCCUAAUCAACAAGGCUUCAUACUCAGCCCCUACUAUAGUCUUUAUAGACUCACAACUUUGUGGCUGGAUUUCACCCCAACUCCAUUUUCAAGUUUGCUGAUGACACCACUGUUGUAGGUCAGAUCUCAAACAAUGACAACACAGAAUACCAGCGGCAUGGUGUUAAGACAACAAUCUCUGCAUAAAUGUUAGCAAAACGAAGGAGCUGGUCACUGACUUCAGGAAGUAGACUGGAAGGGACGCGCUUGUCUCCAUCAAUGGUGCUGAGGUGGAGUUGGUUGACAUCGUCAAGUUCCUGAGAGUGAUGAUCACCAACAAACUCUCCUAAUGGUCAAGAAAGCACAACAAUGUCCCUACUUCCUCAGGAGACUAAGGAAAUUUGGGAUGUCCACAAGGACUCUUACCAAUUUUUAAUGAUGCAUUAUAGAAAGUAUCCUAUUUGGAUGCAUCACAGAGUGGUAUGGCAACUGCUCUUCCCAAGACCAUAAGAAACUACAGAGAGUCAUGAACACAGCCCAGUCCAUCGCGCAAACCAUAUACUUCCUAUAAUGUUGGGAAAGCAACGAAUGGAAUCAAAGACCCCUCCAACUCCGGUUAUACUGUCUUCCACUCUCCUCCAUCAGACAGAAGAUUUAAAUGGUUGAAUACAUGUAUGUAUAGACUCAAGAACAGCUUCUUCCCUGCUGUUAUCAGACUUUUGAAUGAACCUCUCAAAUGUUAAUUCUGACCCCUCUCCCUCUCUCUCUACCUUCUCUGUGGCUGUAACAUUGUAUUCUGCACACAGUGCUGGUACCCUGAUGCAUUGUGUAUGGUACAAUCUGCCAGU